UACAGAGGGGGCAAGCGUUGUUCGGAAUUACUGGGCGUAAAGGGCGCGUAGGCGGCCUUCUAAGUCGAACGUGAAAUCCCCGGGCUCAACCCGGGAACUGCGUCCGAGACUGGAAGGCUUGAAUCCGGGAGAGGGAUGCAGAAUUCCAGGUGUAGCGGUGAAAUGCGUAGAUAUCUGGAGGAAUACCGGUGGCGAAGGCGGCAUCCUGGACCGGCAUUGACGCUGAGGAGCGAAAGCUAGGGGAGCAAACGGGG
rnacentral:rRNA from 1 species